CAUCCGCUCCUCAUCCUCUCCCUCUCUCGAGACUCCGACAAGCCGCCUCCAUCUCCGCAGCCGAUCGUGACGCCGACGACUGCCAGGCCGCCUUCCUCAUCCUCUCCUCCUCCACUUGGAUCCGAUCGGCGACAAUCAUCACCAUUGUUGCCAUUUCGAGGAUUUCAGUGAUCUUGGAGCGUGGUGAUUUCUCUCGGUGACAAGGGAUUCAUGGCUUUUUAUCUCUUUUGCAAAAGGCUUUCCAUGUGAAGAGCCGGCCUACAAUUGGUCAGUUUGGGUGUUUGAGUUUGCAGCGUGCUUGGUGGAAGAGGGGGCUCUUUGUAAUUUGCUGACAGAGCAGUAGUUACAGAGGACGGAGCUCUAAUGUUGAUGGAAAAUUAAAUUUCUGCAAAAUCUAUGAACUAGCAUACCAAAGAGGUUGUUUAUAAUUGUAAACCCAUUUGGUGGGAAGAAGGUGGCACCAGAAAUAUUCCAAAACGAAGUCAUCCAGGUUGUGAACCAUCAUACCCAACACCGGAAUGCAUUAAAAGGUGCCAGGAUAAGAACCUGCUCUGGGAAAAGACUAAGCAUUUUGGUCUCAGUGCUUACAGAGUAAACUCCGAUCCACAUGAUAUCAUGGCGGAGCUUUUUAAAAACGGUCCUAUUGAAGUUGCUUUUACGGUUUAUGAGCUUCUAGCCAACCAAUGGAACAGAGGAUGGGGUGAUGUAUGUCCUUCAAACAGAUCUCUCUUGUCAUGCAAGGUGCCCUCUCUUGAAGUGAGUCAAAGGCCAGAUGGCAACCAAGGCUGUAGUUCUCGGAUUGAAACUUUCAGGUUCAGGCGUCUUCAUCUACUGACAUGACUUCAGUACAAACGAUGUUACCUACAUUAAAUGAGGGAAGUGCCAUUAAUCAAAUAGAUCAUUCUACACGACAAACUGAAGAUUUCCUACAACAGCCGUUGAUUAACACUCAAGCACAAAAAGAGUACUUAAUGUUCAUUAUAUGAAUUUCUGGGGAAGAGACCCUGUUUUCGGCCAUCGAAAUAAUCUAAUUAAAAUUUUUGUUCUGCAAAUGUUAUCAGCCUGGAUCUUGUUUGUUCCCCAGCAACAAGGCUGCAAUACUGAAUUUUAAUGGUGCAUGUGGAAUGGAGUUUUAAUGUUGUUUUGAUACAAGUGUUUGUAUAGUUAUACUACAUGAUUUCCAAUGUAUAUAUAGGGCAUCUA